CGCUCACCAGAGGAAGAAGGCUCCUUAUACACAAAAGAGUCCUUCUUAUCUUUAUCAUCCAUGAGAUUAGGAAUAAAAGGAAAGAGAAAACUAGAACGUAUUACUUGUCAAGCUGGGCACAAUCCCAUGAGUUUAAACACCCUGUAUUAAACUUCUGGAAAAACAUUCUACAUGAAUCUCCUUGUAGGAAAUUGGAAUAAAGUCAGGGAGUAAGCAAAAGCUCCUGCUGAUGUCUGGCUGUUUUAACCUUUGAAAGUCACUAAAUGUGCUAUGAUCACAAAGCUCAAUCCCAUUUUUCUGAACUUCUUUAUUAAUUCACUCAAUAAAAAUAUAUGAGUGGCUAUGAAGUGGAAGCACUAUGCUUGGCACUAGGGACAGGAUAAUAAGAAAAACAGUCUAAACUUAUGGGGCUAAUAUUUCAGUGGGGUGAGACAGAGAGUAGUAAAUAGUUACACUGUUUUAAUAUACACUCCCCCGCAACACAACCCUGUUAACCACUGGCUGGGGCAAGUGCUAAGAAGAAAAGGUCCAGAGGUGCUGUCCAUGGGGUGGGUGGGGGGGUUGAAGGGGUUAAAGAAAUUUUCCACAGGGAACUGAGGUUUGAGCUGAAACAUGAAGGAGGUGGCAUUAAUCAAGGCAGGUGAGGUGUGGGUGGGUAGGGGGACAGGAAGCAGAAGUGUGAUAGCUACAUGUCACCUUGGCUAGGCUAUGGUGCCCAGGUGUUGGAUAAAUGCCAGUCUAGAUGAUAACGUGAAGGUUAUUUUUGGAUAUGGUUCAUUUUUAAAUUAGUAGACUUUGAUUCAGGCAGAUUACCUUCCAAAACAGGGUGGGCUUCAUGCAAUCACUUGAAGGCUUUAAGAAUAAACACUAAGGUCUCCUAAAGAGGAAGGGAUUAAAAUUCUGCCUUUAGACUGCAACACAGAAAUUCUGCCUGAGUUUCCAAUCUUUGGACUCAGGACUGCAGCAACUACUUGAGUUUCCAGCCUGCUGGCCUACCCUUGGAUUUUGGGUUUCCCAGUCCCCAUAAUCAGGUAAGCCAAUUUCUUAAAUCUCUCUAGAUAUAGGUUUAUAGAUAGAGAGGAAGAGAUAGAGAUAUUGCCUGCCAAUUCCAUUCUCUGGAGAACACUGACUAAAUAACACAAGAAGUGAAGAAGACUCUAGCAAAGGUAACCACAUGGGCAAAGCCUCUGAGAUGGGAGAGAGCUGGCAUUUGAGGGAAUAAAAAAUAAGCAAUAUUGCUGAAGAGAGCUAGUGUGGAAGAGUAGCCAGGCCAGAAUUUUGUGCUCUGAAGCCCUUUUUGAAGAGCUGGGACUUUAAAUAUAGCUGCAAAUAUUAAUUUCUUGAAUUUGCGUAAGACUCUGUUCUUUAAAUUCACUCCAUCUUCAACUUUUCAGUUAUUAAGUACGUACACUUUUCUUACCACAUGUAAAAUUUCCGUGAACCACUUAACAUAGACUAAAAUACUCCUCCUUUUCCCUCUCCCCAUCUCUCCCGUUUCCUCUCCAUACAGUAUAUUGCCUCCCUGGAUGUUUCCUCUUUUGACUUCAAAUUACUUGUGCACCUGUGCAUUUCUGCUCUCUGAUCUUAGGUGCAACUUCAUACUUUGGUUCCCCAGUUUACCUACUCUCAAUCAACCUUGCUCCCUACAGCCUUUACUGUAAUAUUUAGUUCUGGGAUUCUGCCUUUCUUUUUAUAAAUUAUCCCUGUCAUUCUGAACUGUCUUGGGGGUCCACUAGUAAAGGUGCCAUGCCCUCCCCAAGCUAAGGUGUGGGACUGAGGGCUUGUGAACCUCUAGCAGAGUAGGAAGUGGCUGGAGCUGAUUCCUUCUCAUGGAGUCUCCCCAAAGAGAUAGUCCAGCUAUCCUCGCCUGAUCUAGGUUCUCAGCCCUGCCCUGGUUUCUAUUCUUUCUACAACCUGGUUUUUCUUGAUGCUCUAAGCCCCAUAUGACCUAGUAAAUCCCUUCUCUCCUUAAGUUAACCAGAAACAGUUUCUGUGGCUUGCAGCCUAAGAAGCCUACUGCUCCAGCAUGAAAGGGGAAGGGAGGAGAGCUUAGUGUGUCUGGAGAGAAAGAAUGUAUGGGGGUAGCUGAAGAUGAGGUGGUUUGGGGCCAGAUUUUAAGGGAUGACAGAGAGAGACCCCAAAAGUUGGAAAUAAAGCUAUCCUGUGAGAAGACAUUGAUGGAAUGUGUUUGGUUAUGGAGAGAAUGAAGUAAGAACUAGUUGGACCCAUUAGUGAGUUUGUUAUUGAAGAUUUCCAGAAUCUCUCUCAGAAUUCCAAGGGAGAGUCAGUCUCUGGGAAAUGGCAUGAAGUCUAUGCAAAAUGUGGAAACUUAAUCCUCUGUUCUGUGCCAACAGAAAAUGGCUGGUCAGCUUGGUGUGGAAAACUGAAGCCCAAUAAAGCAAAGUCUUGGGAGAGAGCUCCCUGUGUGUGAUGCACGUACUAGCAAUGAUGUGGUCACAGCCAGAACCAUCAUUCUCUAAGGCCCCAAAUGGCCAAACAACUCACUCUCCUGAGUGGACUCCAUGGCCAUAAAGAAGCUUAAUAUAAAAAUGGCUUUUCAUGUAACUCUGCUUCUAGGGGAGUAAUAUGCAGCUUGGGCCAAAAUGAGGAUUAGGGCUUGUCUAGCAGUUAUGUUUCAAUGAAAAUUAAUAUGCUGACAAUUUUGGUUCUUACAUGAAUCUUGCAGGAUUAGUUAAUAUGGAUCCAUGGCCGAGAUGUCACGCAAAGUUUCUGAGCUUAUGGAUCUGAGGAUAAGGUUGUAGACUGUGGUGAAUUAAUUCAUUCAAACAAUUUUAUGGAGCCAGAACUUUUUUGUACUCCCAUAAAGCCACAUUUUUUUUUUUUUUCCUAUUCUAGGAAGGGAGUGACACGAUCAGAUCAGAAUGAACCUUGGUUUCAGGCAGAGAGACUCUGGAAAAAGGGAGACCAGAUAGGAGGUCACUGUGAGGGAUCUGGGGAAAACCAGAAAGAUCUGAACUAAGGCAACAGCAGUGGGGAGAGGGGAGAUGCCAGUCACUGGACUGAAGUAUGGUCUUCAGACCCUGAUAACCUGUUGGAUAUAAAGGGUGAGGAACUGGCUGGAACCAAGGAUAGCUAAAGAAUGUCUUACUUGUCAUUUUUCUUUCAUUAAAUAACCCUAUCUGAAUUCCCCCAAACAAUGCUGUAAUAGUUAAAUUGUGACAGUAUGAAAAAGAAUCUGAAUUAAAUUAGUGCUAUGUCAGCCCAUCACACUAGACCACGAAUUCCCUGAGAGGUUUAGCAACACAUUGGAUAAAGUGAAACUAAUUCUUUAGAGCCACAAGUUGACAUAUGCAUGUGCUAUGAAUCCAUAAACUAUACUGGAAGCAUUAGAAAAGGAAGCUAAAAAAUGCAAGUGAACACAUCUGCAUUCUGUUCUGCAAAGCAAGCCUAGUUCACUAUGUCAUUUUCUUUUGUUAGUGUUGAACCAUGAGGAAGCUCUGAAAUGUUCACAUCAUUGACCUUUACAAUCCAGUGUUGUUGACUGCCUCCCCCCCACCCCCCGGCCCCAAAGCUUGAUGAGGCUUUGCAGCCAGGUCACUCUUUCAUAUUUUUCACUAUCCUAAAUUUAGAAAAGGCUGCAAUGCUAACUGCAAGUGACAAAACCCAGAGAAUUUCAAGUUCUGGUUGGCUGCCCUGGGUUACAUUCUCCUCCAGGAGAAGUUGGAGCUGCCAGCUGCAUUAAUGACCAGCCUGUUAGAAGAGAAAUCAGGAGGUACUGCAGAUAAGAAGUUGCAGAGAUUUAAAACUCCCCUCCACUUUUGACUUCAUAGUUAAAAAUAUUUCCUUUGUUUUAAGUAUCUUGAAAAGCGAGAACUAAGUGAAUUUUGUGACUUUUCACUAGCUUGCAUGAAAUAAAGGGUUGUGUGGUUACAUGAUGAAUUUAGGGUCAUUACUGCACCCAGUCUUAAGCAGAUUUCUGGCUUUAGUCUGUGUGAAACGGUUGCAGAUUUGCCAAAAAGUCAUAGAAUACAGUAGUUCAACAUGUGACUCUCGAGCCCCAGCUACAGACCUUUUGAAAAAUGGAUGUCAUUGAUGCCAGAAAGAACCAGAAACCUGUCUCAUCUGAUUCGUUUGGGCUUAUCAAUACUUUAUUUUCAGGAGUACAGAGAAGGCUUUGUGUGCUGAGCUGAUAGACUCUGCUGGAAGAAAUGUGCCAAAAACUUAAAGAGAAAAGAAAAUAGAAAGGCAGUGUAGAUAGUGUCAAAAUGAAGUGCCAUGUUUUAAUUCACUCUAUGGGAUCCACAUCUUAUGCUGAACAGGUCUAGGGCCACUGAAUUCUGGUUUCGCUUUUCUUAAGUAAACGCCCCACUUGAUAUUCUCCUCUGAUUAGCAAUCCUAAGUAUAAUAGGCUUGGAAUUCCAAUAUGCUUAAUUUUAUUAGGAAACAACACAAGACUCAAUUCAAAAAUUUUACCUGCUUUUCUAUUUUAACUUAAGGGUGCAGACAGAACUCAAAGAUGCAGGGGAGUAGCGCUUAUUUCCUAGAUUCUAAUCUACAGCUCAGGCGUCUCAACUUUUUCACAUUCAAUGCUGACUUUUGAAGCUGGCGAUUUUGAUGGCAAAUCUCCAAAUAUUAACUGGACAGCAGAAACAUCCACGUAACUACUCAUACUGUAAAGCCAUUUUUUGUAGCACGUCUAAAGCCAUCCACAGUUAAUGCAAUAGUCAGUGUUAGCCUUUAGCAUGGUGUUGCUGUUUCAGUAGAUUUACUGUCCUGCCCACGUUCCCAUCUAUACUCGUGAAGGGAGUAUAUCACAUUUCCAGUAAACACACUAUCUUUCUUUGAAUAUUCCGCUUCUUAACACUUGUUCUAAACUUGUUACUCCCUACUCUGCACCCCACUCUGCAAACCCCUCUUAACAUUCCAUCUGGCACACACAGCUGGAAUGGUGAAUUUUACUCUGUUGCAGCAAAAAUAUAUUUUCUACAGAGAAAAAAUUUGGCAGCAUUCUUGUAUGGCUUUUGAACAUGCCUUGGCACAGUGCCUUCGCACAAUGUUGGCACCUCGGAUGAUCUCAAGAAAAUCACAGAAAUUUUGUGCCGUGAGUUCUCCUUCUGCAAAAUCUGAGUAAAUCUGAUUUCUAUAGAAACACCACCGAUGAAAAUAUUGUGAGCCCUUCAAUGGCAAUUUGCUGUGUAAUCUUACUGCAGGUUGGAUUCUCCAGGAAACUGACUCUAAGAAGGAGAUCAACACACAGGAGGGGAACUAGGGAGUAUCCUUGAGAUCAAGCAGUGUGGAAGGAAUGGAACAAGAAGGAUAUGGCAGAGGGAGGGAUUGGCUGUGGUUCCAUCUAAUGAGGGCUCGCCAACCCCAUGGGAAGCUCGGAGGCUGGCACGGUCCUUUAGAGUUGUGCCAAAUUGGAGUGAGGGAGUAGACUCUUUAUCUAGGUUGACCAGUCACUGAGUACAGCCUGCCUUAGGAAGGGGCAGUGACUUCGGUGACACAGUUCUUUUCUGUUGAGGCAUUUUGCCAGGAGGGCUCUCUGCAGAGAGCUGUCAUCUAACAACCUUCCCAGUAGGAGGGGAACCAAUCCUUCACUCAUGAAGUAGGGAUCAUAGUGGCCCAGUAUGGUAUACACGACAAAAACCAAGCUAGGAGCAGCUUACAUGAACUAUGCUUUCCUUUCUGGUAGCUGGUGGCUUCCAAUGGAGAGAGAAUUAUGAUAUGAAUGGAUAUAGUGAGACUUCCUUUUCUUCACCUCCAUCACCAUCACACAAAGUUCCACUACACUCUGAUGCCAUAGAUCCAGCAGGGAAACUGCAUGAAGCACUCUUUCUUGGAUUAGGUUGAUCUCCUGGUCGCCAACCAGCCUUGUCAUCUUUGUGCACUCAGUACUAUGUAACGUGGGCUAUAUUUCCUUUCUAAUAUUCAAGUGGCACAUUUAUAACAGUAUGUCUCUCAAGUCUUGGUUGUUUAUGCAAAAAUGAUUAGCUGUUUAAAAGAGAAAAUUGCAUUUAGUUGAUAUAUGCUCUAAGUCCUAUUAGGUAGGACAGUACUCCUAAUCACUUCCUUUUUAUGACAUUAACAUUAAUGUUUUGAAGAGAACUUGCCAGUUAGCUUGUGUAAACUGUCCCUUAUUCUGGAUAUACCUGAUUAUUUCCUCAUAAUUUUAUUUAAAUUUUCCUCUUCAGGGAAGGAAAUUAAAUAGGUCUAAAGGCUUGAUGAGAUUCUGGUUAAACAGUUUGGUAAGAAUAUUUAUUAUAUGCAUUUUGGAAAGGGAAGCUGUAAAAUGCAUUUUGGAGCUUCAAAAUACAUGAGCUGAAAAUUGACAGAAGAAAAGGGAAACAGAUUAUUCUAAAGUCAUAGUUGGAGAUUAGACUCUUCUCUCAUCAAUGAAUAGGCAAACAAGGCAAAAAAAUCAGUAAAGAUAUAGAAGAUAUAAACAAAACUAUCACCCAUCUUGACCUAACUGAUAUGUAUAAAACAUUAUACCCAAUAUUAAAGAAUAAACAUUCUUUUCAAGUGUACAUGGUAUGCUCAUCAAGAUAGACUGACCAUAUUUUGAGCCAAAAAAUAAGCCUUAAAAGUUCAAAAAAGGGAGUUCCCAUCGUGGCGCAGUGGUUAACGAAUCUGACUAGGAACGAUGAGGUUGUGGGUUCCGUCCCUGCCCUUGCUCAGUGGGUUAACGAUCCGGCGUUGCCGUGAGCUGUGGUGUAGGUUGCAGACGCGGCUCGGAUCCCGAGUUGCUGUGGCUCUGGCGUAGGUCUGUGGCUACAGCACCGAUUCGACCCCUAGCCUGGGAACCUCCAUACGCCGUGGGAGCGGCCCAAGAAAU
rnacentral:lncRNA from 1 species